rnacentral:rRNA from 1 species
UACAUGGGGUGCAAACGUUGCUCGGAAUUAUUGGGCGUAAAGCGCGCGUAGGCGGUUACUUAAGUCGGAUGUGAAAGCCCUCGGCUUAACUGAGGAAGUGCACCCGAAACUGAGUAGCUAGAGUACGAAAGAGGGUCGCGGAAUUCCCGGUGUAGAGGUGAAAUGCGUAGAUAUGCGGAGGAACACCGAUGGCGAAGGCAAUCCCCUGGACCUGUACUGACGCUCAUGCACGAAAGCGUGGGGAGCAAACAGG